rnacentral:tRNA from 1 species
CUCCCUGUGGCUCAGUUGGUAGAGCAUGGUGUUUGCAAUGCUAGGGUUGUGGGUUUGAUUCCCAUGGGGGGC